rnacentral:rRNA from 1 species
AGCAGCCGCGGUAAUUCCAGCUCCAAUAGCGUAUAUUAAAGUUGUUGCAGUUAAAAAGCUCGUAGUUGAAUUUCGGGGUCAGUAGUUUGGUCGUGCCAACGGUAUGUACCGGGCUCACUGAUUCCUCCUUCCUGAUGAACUGUAAUGCCAUUAAUUUGGUGUUGCAGGGAAACUGGACUGUUACUUUGAAAAAAUUAGAGUGUUUAAAGCAAGCUAACGCUUGAAUACAUUAGCAUGGAAUAAUGAAAUAGGACGUUCGAUCCUAUUUUGUUGGUUUCUGGGAUUGACGUAAUGAUUAAUAGGGAUAGUUGGGGGCAUUAGUAUUCAAUUGUCAGAGGUGAAAUUCUUGGAUUUAUUGAAGACUAACUACUGUGAAAGCAUUUGCCAAGGAUGUUUUCAUUAAUCAAGAACGAAAGUUAGGGGAUCGAAGACGAUCAGAUACCGUCGUAG